UCCCCUCCCCUGCCGCCCGCCGCCCGCCGCCGCUCCCUCUCUGGCUCGCUCCGGCUGGCGCGGAGCUCGCGGCUGACAUCUAGACCCACUGAGGGCGGCCGGCAGAGGGGGCAGGGGGCGCCUCCCCGGAGCUCCGCGCCCACCGCUGCACGCCCCGCCCGCGUUCCCCGGCACGGGCGUUUGCCGACACCCCCUCGACCCCUCGCCCACCCUGCCGGGCGCAAUAUGGGGCAGAGGGGGACGCGUAGACGGUGACACGGGCGCAGGGCGCGUACUCGGAAGGAGGCAACCGUCACCCUCCUCGGGAUGGGGCCGCCGAUCGGUCAGAGGCACCCUCAGGUGUUCAGAGCUGACACGGGCACAGGCACCUACUCCUAAUCAGAACCCCAGCGCCCCACCAAGGCACCCCCCCCCACACACACACAGCACCCAAAGACGGAGGCCUGGGGGAGAGAGCAUGAAUGGCCAAGUGCCCUAGAGCUCGCUCAGUAACGUGACUCGAUUCAUGUUUACAUCCACAGACUGACCUGCCUCCUCUUCUCAGAAACCUAGACCACACCAAGAUAGACAAUGCGGACAUCAGGGCACUUUCUGAAGUCCGAAGAAAGCAAUCAGCACCUUGCUGUGGUUGAGACAGUCGUCUGGCAGAGAGGAAACCACCAUGCGGGAUCUGAAGUGGGGAGCACUACCUCAGAAACCUCUGCCUGGAUCUUCCUAGAAAGGAAUCCGAGUUGUACACUGGGGAGUCUUUGAAAGGACAUGUGAGCUGACCAGCUCCACAAGCCCCCAGGUGGGCAGUUCCCGCAGGCCAAGCUGCGCCAGCCUUGAUAGUGCCCCACUGAAACUCUGCUCUCAAAGAAAAAUGGAUGCCAUGGGGUGCCUGAAGAGUAAUAACAGACCCAAAUGACAGAAAAGGAGUGGAACACAAAGCUGGCCAACAAUGGGCAGCCCCUGACAGCUGGUGAGGGGUGAAGACGGACCCAAGCUUUCUCCCCGGCUGACACUGGAUCGGCCGUCCCCUCCCCCCAUGAAUCAGAGCGGACUGAGGUGGCCAAGAAGUGACCAUGUGUGAUUUCCAAGCCAGGUCAUAAGAAACAUGGCAGCCUCCAGCUCGGUGCCUUGUGUCCCUCACUCUGGGGCAGAGUGGUGAGGACCCUCAAGCAGCCUUUGGAAAGGAACCAAGGCUUCCUGCCAGCUACCAGCAAAACUUGACAUCCCAUGAGCGAGCCAAUUUGCAAGAGGAUUCUCCAGGCCCAUUCAUGUCUUCCGAUCAUUCUAGUUUUGAGUUUUCCGACUGAGAUCCCAGACAACACAGAGCAGGGACAGGGUGUUGUUGGAAAUGCUCCGUUAUGAAGCCAAAAUGGAACCACAUGACUAACACAGCAACUUACAGCGAGGGAAUCCUUCCCCUGACCUUGACCUCAUUAGCCUCUUACUCUUAUUAUUUGAGCCCACUUGGCUUUAGAAUAAGAAGGGCAGAGGGGGACAUGCUUGGUGCACGAUGCCAACCCUACUGGGCAGGACUGGCCACCAGUAUGUGCCCUGCCAGGAACUCUCUUCAGGAGAAUGCUCUAGUCUAGUACUUACCUGAAGCUGGAUGUGGUCAUCUCCAGAAGGCCAGCCUCAGAGACACAAACACUGAAGUGCACAGUGGCUGGGGAUCCUGUUCUUAUCAAUGAACCUCCUGGAGGUCAGACCAGGUGGACUCCAGGGUGAGCACCAGCCCCUAUGGAGCUGAAAGAGCUCCCUACACUUGACCCUGACCCUUACCACACUGCAGGGCAAGAGGGAAGUCAAGGGACUCUUUUCCGUCAUAGCAAGAAGAGACUGGAAACCAGAAGUGGCUGGAAGCUGACGGUGCAGUUUUCUCUCCACUCCGUGUCCCACGAAGGCUCUUUCCCACCACCUUCUCUUGGGCUUCAGGGGGGUCUCCUCAACCCUUAGUGGCUUCUGGAGAACUAAGCAGUGCUGAAGGGUUGUCAGGGAGGCCAAGGCAUGCACAAGGGGCAGGAAGAAAGGGAGAGGGAGGAAAGAAGCAAAGAGGAAGAGGAAGACCAGCAGGGGUGCCUAUCCUAAGUCAGAGUAGAAAGAGAGCCUUGGACAGUCUCAUGGAGUUUCCAGACAUAGUUCAUGGGCCCAAGGUGACCUACUUCCUCUUAAACAUCUCCCUCUAAGACUCUGUGACUUGACCCCAUUUCUCCCUCUGGCCCCAUUCUCCUUCCUCUGUUUUUAAAGGGCUUUUUCUCCCCCUGCUAAAUGCAGACUUCACAAAUGUAGGGUGUCCCUUAGGAGAUCCCCUCUGAUCCCCAAGCCCCUCUGGUAUACAGUAGCUUAAGAGCUGGGGAGGGCCAACUGUGUGCCCCUCUCCCCAACCCUCCAUUCUGGGACAGCAUACUGAUAGCCAGAAAUCAGCCAUGGGGAAAAUAUUUACACCAUGGGAAUCAACACUAUGCACCAGGGCUCUUAUUGUUGUGGAGAGCAGUGGUUAAACAUUUCUUAGUACACCCUGGGGCAGGGCCAGUGACAGGACAAGAUAAGGAACAGAAGCCCAGAGCACGCUUGCUUAGUUCCUCAACCCAGCAAACACACCACCAAUGGUAGCUCAAUCUAGCAUAGCUGUAGCCAGAGAGAGGGUUGCCUUCUGCCCACAUCCCACCUCUAGAUGGUGAGAAAAACUUAAUACAUACCCUUUCCAGUAGCUGUUUUUCCUAAAUCCUGUGUUUAAGAUUUGACUCAUAUUUUUUGACACUAGACUCAAGAAGGAAAGUGAUUUCCCUUUCCUGCUAGGCAAACUGAGGCAAAGGAUAUCGAAGUGACAUUUCUCAGGUUACAUCGGUAUCUGAAGUAUAGACCUUUUAACACCUGUCGUUUACUGCCUCUGCUUCAGAUUUAGUAUUAAUACCCUGUGUUUGGCAACCAUUCUAUUUUCAUUCCCUCCAAGCACUACUGUUAAAAUUAUGAUACACCCAUACAGUAGAACACGGUGUAGAUCUUAAACAAACAAAGUAAAUCUAUGUAAUCUAUAAGCUGAAAAAAAAAGGAGAGAGCAGAGUAUUUGUAUAUAUAUUUGCAUAUUUUUAACAUAUGGAAUAGUAU